AGCACUGUAGGUGUCAGCAGCCGCGGUAAUACGAAGGGUGCAAGCGUUACUCGGAAUUACUGGGCGUAAAGCGUGCGUAGGUGGUGGUUUAAGUCUGUUUGUGAAAGCCCUGGGCUCAACCUGGGAAUUGCAGUGGAUACUGGGUCACUAGAGUGUGGUAGAGGGUAGCGGAAUUCCCGGUGUAGCAGUGAAAUGCGUAGAGAUCGGGAGGAACAUCCGUGGCGAAGGCGGCUACCUGGACCAACACUGACACUGAGGACACGAAAGGCGUGGGGAGCAAACAGGAUUAGAUACCCUGGUAGUCCACGCCCUAAACGAUGCGAACUGGAUGUUGGGUGCAAUUUGGCACGCAGUAUCGAAGCUAACGCGUUAAAGUUCCGCCGCCGUGGGGAGUACGGUCGCAAGACUGAAACUCAAA
rnacentral:rRNA from 1 species